AGCAAGCCAGGCUGGCAUGGGGAGGAGCGUGGGUCCCCUGUCCUCCGGGCGGCAUUAUCUGGAGCUGCCUUGCCCUGCCAGAGAUAAUUGUUUAUAGCUGGAGCAGAUGGUGGGAACUUGUCACAGGGCCAAGGAGGGAGAUCUCACAAACAUGGUCAGGGGCUGUGGCCCUGGCCAGGGAAUCUCAGAAGUCUACAGGGGCUGAUUCGGCCAUAGUGGCUCUUCGAGGGAAACCGAGGCGAGGAAAGGGAGGUGACAUGCCCUGCGGUUGCAGGUUCCCAGCUCUAGCUGUGCCUGUCUCAGCCCUGUGUCCCUCAUUCCCUAGACUGAAGACCCUGUGGGUUAGUUGCCUUAGGGGAGGCGAGGUGAGCAGCGGAACACAGAAGUCCUUGCCCUCCACAAUCUGUCUUGGCACCCAAUUGGGGCUUGCCAUACUUGCGAAGGCUCUCGGGGACACUGAGGCAUGCCACCAGGCUGCGGCCUCAGGGCUGUGGACCUGCCUGCAGUCCUGUGAAUGCCAGGUGAGCAGCUCGAAGCCUGCAGCCAGACACCCUGAAGUUGGAACUGCUUCUCAGAAGAGGAAACCCAGACACCACAAAUCUCUGGACAAAGCCUGUAGCUCUGUCCUCCCCAGCCUUUGUAUCUGAGUGCAGAGUGCAGAGCCCUAAGCUGCCUUCCAGUGCCGUAAGUGUGGACACAGCGCCGUGCCUCUGCGUAACAGAACUCUGCACGUGCAAGCUCAGGUGUGGCUUGUUUGGGACUCUGGAGACUGGGGUCCUCCCUGGACAUCGCACCCACUGCCUGUUCUGCACCCUGGUUUCUCUGACAGCACAGUUACCUGUUGCUCUGGGCCAGCUGGGAGCCAGACUUGGCUGUAGCCAGUGCCAGGGAUGGAGCUGAGCAGAGGCGGUAAGGCGGAACAGGGAUGGGCUGUGAUGGGACCUUGGCAGCGUCCCAGCCCACUCUUCUGGGCACACAAAGGCCUGCUGACCAUAUGCUGCUGCUCUGAUUUGUUGGGGCGAGGGCUAGAAGCGGCUGACACACUCCACCCUACCCACCUUGGCACAAUGGGACACCCUGCAGGCAGGCUGUGCAUGUCCUUGUGCCCCAUUAGCCUCUCAGAGACCCCCCUCAGCUGGGCUAUAAGCAUCCCAGCUGCCGCAAGCCAAAGGAGUUACAACUCAGCCGCCUGCUUUGCUGCCUGAGCAUGAGGUACCCUGUGAGGGGCUAACCAGGGGAUGUCAGUAAAUGGAACCUGAGAGCAACAUCAGCUCCGGAGGCAGCAAAGGGAGGGUGGCUCUCUGCUGGCCUCGGGAGCUCCAACACACAUCCUUGUCUGCCUUGCCAAAGGCUUCUCCAUUCCACAGUAGCACUGGUGUGGACCCACCUGUGGCCCUGUGCUGACUUCCAGUCAGGACCGUCAAGUCUGUCAGCUCUUGAGGUCUGUGUCUCUGAAAAUGGGGAGCUCCCCUCUGAGGGAAGGCUGGAGAAGAGGCCUGGACUACAGCCUUCCUUCCCUUCCCUUCCCUUCCCUUCCCUUCCCUUCCCUUCCCUUCCCUUCCCUCCCUCCCUCCUUCCCUCCUUCCUUCCUUCCUUCCUUCCUUCCUUCCUUCCUUCCUUCCUUCGUUCGUUCUCCCCACCACCAUCAUGUCUUCUCCCAUCCUGCACAAACCUUCCUCGUGCCCCUUGGUAGGCCAUGAGGAUACUGAAGGGCUUCCAGAGGCUUGGAUAUUGAUGGACAUUGGGUCUAGGCUGGGAAAGAAGCUGAGGAAGGUACAAAAUAUGGGGACCUGGGAGAGAGUGGGAUCAUACACACCUGUGUACACAGUUCAUGUCCAUGACUGUUUCUAAAGCCACAUUGUCCCCUUGUGGUCGCCUGUGGUUCUGCAUCAUCUGGGUUCUCUCCCAGACCAGAAAUGAGAAAUACAAGGUGCUGAGAGCAGGCUGCCAAGGAUGCUGCUGGCCACUUGGGGCCUACAGGGCCCCAGGAAGGAAGGAGCUGGGGAGCCCCUUGCUCUAAAACAUUGUGGUUUGGACUCAGAGCCAGGGUUUCUGGCCUGGAAACCUUCACUUCCCUCAUACACCCCAGUGUUGGAAAGAAGAGGACUCAGGACCUCUCCAGAGAAGGGCCAGGGCCAACAGAGGUAGGUUAGGACCUGCUCUUCCCCGUGAUCCAGGCCUGUGUGAAGGUAUGGCAGGGCUGCCACCUCCAAGGGUUGUAGAUGAAGAGAUUAAAUACCAAUAAAGCAGAAGAAAAAUGAGUGGAUAGAAUUGAAAUUAAGGGGCUGGAGAGAUGGGUCAGUGGUUUAGAGCACUGACUGCUCUUCCAGAGGUCCUGAGUUCAAAUCCCAGCAACCACAUGAUGGCUCACAACUAUCUGUAAUGAGAUCUGAUGCCCUCUUCUGGUGUGUCUGAAGACAGCUACAGUGUACUCAUAUAAAUAAGAGGUAAUAAAACAUUUUUUAAAUAAACAAGUCUUUUAAAAAUGAAUAAAUAAAUAAAAUGGGCCAACCAAAAAGUCAGUGUAAUGCGGUUAAAUCUGGAAAGACUUAUAAAAAGGUAGCUCUCCAAGGAAAAGACAUACUCCACCAAAGUCAGGAUCCAAAGACGAAGCGUUGCCUCACACUCAGCAGACACUGGGAAAACAAUAUUUCAGUCAGGAGCCACUGCGUGAUCAGCACUGAGGAGGAAAAGACCAGAGGAGAGCUCAUGGUUAGCCCAGGGAACAUCGUGGGAUGGGGAAGAAAG